UACGUAGGGUGCAAGCGUUUGUCCGGAAUUAUUGGGCGUAAAGAGCUCGUAGGCGGUUUGUCACGUCGGUACCGUGGAAACUCGGGCCUCAACCCGAGCCUGCGGUCGAUACUGCAGGGCUAGAGUGCGGAAGGGGCAACUGGAAUUCUCGGUGUAGCGGUGAAAUGCGUAGAUAUCGAGAGGAACACCUGCGGCGAAGGCGGGUUGCUGGGCCGACACUGACGCUGACAGCGCGAAAGCUAGGGGAGCGAACGGG
rnacentral:rRNA from 1 species